UACGUAGAAGACUAGUGUUAAUCAUCUUUAUUAGGUUUAAAGGGUACCUAGACGGUAAAUUAAACUUUAAAAGAGUACUUUUUUACUAGAGUUUUAUAAGAGAAGGAAGAAUUUCUGGAGUAGAGAUAAAAUUUGUUGAUACCAGAAGGACUGAUAGCGGCGAGGCAUCCUUCUAUGUAAAACUGACGUUGAGGGACGAAGGCUUGGGUAGCAAGAAGG
rnacentral:rRNA from 1 species